CACCAUAAAUGUUUCCUUAUUUUCUUUCCAGCAACACCCAGGAUCCUUCUCAGCAAUUGACUCCAUCAGUAGCUUCAGUGCGGAGCAUGCCUGAGAGGCAGGAAAGCCCAGCUUCGGCCAGGCCAGGGGUGGCCAGUCUCACAACUGCUGCAGCCUUCAAGCCACAAGGAUCCAUGAGCAUUAUUAAGUCACCAAGCUGGCAACAGCCAGACCAAGCAGUGUCUUUCGUAAUACUUCCAUGAUUCGGAUGCAGUAGUCACUUGAGAAACAUUGACUUGAUCUAUAAAAGUACAUAAAAGAUUUGAAUUUCCUACAACAGUCACUGAACAAAGGUGGACACAUGGCCUGCCAAAGGCUGCCAUUAAAAACUACACAUAUUGCUUAAGGAGAAGAGGACUCCACUCUCCUUGAAACAUUAAACUCCAGAAAGACUUUAUAAAGUUGUGAACAUAAGCAGUACUAUAAGUAGUAUUAUAUUAUUUCUUUCCAGUAAUUAAAAAAUUAAUAAUAGAUCUGAAGCCCUAUGAUAGGAAUGUUUUUUCUCAAAAAGUAUGGGAAUUUAUGGCAUAUAAAGAAUCAAGCAGUGGAGUGUAGAGGAAAUAUUAGGAAGGUCAUCUGUUUUGUCACUGGAAAAAUUAGCUUGGAUGCAAAGCACUGGUAAAUAAACAGGUAUCAGUAAAAAGUGUUCAGAAUUAAAUCAGAUGGUAAGAUCCAGAGCAGAAGGCAUGGAGAGGUCUGGAUCAAUGGAAACCGGAAGAGACCAAUACAUUUUCACUGAUAACAAUCUUGAGGUAGAAUAUGUAUUUGGUUAUAGUGGAAUUGUAUUUUAUGCAGGAAUAAAGCAUAAUGUUUGUUCCUCAAGGAAAAUCGUAUGCAGUCAAUGCCCCUUGAAUAUUUUUAGGAAGGAGCCAAGUUGGAGAGGGAAGAAAAUGUGUAAAAGCUCCCAGAGAACUUGGCUUCCUGGAGGAAGAGCAAGUAGUUCACUAUGUUCAGGACUCUACAGUGGCCAGAAAGAAAGUUGGGUGGGUUAAUGGAAGCCUGGUCAGAAAGAGCUUUGAAAAAGAGUGUGGAUUGAUGCAGAAAAGAAGCUUUUAAAAGAUUUGUAAGCUAGAAAGUGAUAUAAUCAGAUUUGCAUUAUUAAAAGAUGCUUAUAAUGUUAGUGUAUUUUACAGAUCAUUAUGACCUCAGUGUAGAGAUUAAAAUUGGAGUUCUGGAGACUAGUAUUUAAGAGGUCGUUGACAUAACCUAGUAUAGAGCUGAUGAUAAUGAAUAUUACCCUGGGCAAUAGCAGUGGGAAUGGAGAGAAUUCCAAAAGCAAGAAAAUAGGAAGUUCUUACAUGUUAACCUGACUGGGAUUAGGUUAAAUAAAAUUAAAAUAAAUAAUCAGGUUGAAACAAUCAGUUUGAAUUAAAAAAAAGAAAGUUCUUCCAUGGAGCUUUAUUUCCUGUGGAGCAUUUAUGUAUCCUCUGGUAAAACAUGGAUGAAGAUAGUGUUUGGCUUAGACAAACUAUGCUUAGUUCUGAGUAAAUCAGACUACGGCAGAGAUGAUUGGUUGAAUAUAUCUUUAGUUUUCUCAUAUAAUGCAUCUGCUUACAAAAAAUAAGUCUUGAAUGAACCACAUCUUUUAUUUGAGAAAUAAGUCAAAGUUUCCGUUUGUAACAUAACUAGUCUAUUUUUGCAGCAUUUCCUCUGGCAAGUGUAUUUAUUUCCCCUAAAUCAGCAUUUUCUAAAUGUUUACUCUUUUCAGUUCUUUGCAGAAGUUGUAAAUAGUAGAUUGGUAGCUUUGGCAUGAUCCUCACUGCAUUGCUAGCCUUUGCAGGAAGCACUUGUACUCUGUUGUCAUUGAAAUAAACAUUGAUAUGGAAAGGGGCCUUCUUUGAAGACAAAAGAAGAAAAAUUCUAUAGAGUCCCAUUGGUCAAAAAUUAAAUACUCAUGUUACUGUAUGUAGUUCAGAACACUUAAGUCCAUAUAGAGGCUAAUAAUUUUUUCAUUUAUCAUAAGUUUCUUCUUUCUCACUCUUAAAAUAUGCUGAUUUUGAAAGUCUUUGUAAUGAUACCUAAAUAUAUUAAUAUUACAAUUAGCAGUAAUAAAUAAUAUAAUCCCUUACUCAAAAAAUAAUUGAGUUACACACUAUUGGCUGAUACUCUAAGCCACGUUUUCUAUAAAAAACAGUAACUUUAUUUCACAGAACCAUUGAAAU